GCAAGUCGAGGGGCAGCGGAGGCGAGAGCUUGCUCUCGCCUGCCGGCGACCGGCGCACGGGUGAGUAACACGUAUUCAACCUGCCCCCUGCAGGAGGAUAACCGGGAGAAAUCCCGACUAAUACUGCAUAACACCCUGGGGCCACAUGGCUUAGGGGUCAAAGGAAGCAAUUCCGGCAGGGGAUGGGCAUGCGGCGCAUUAGCCAGUUGGCGGGGUAACGGCCCACCAAAGCGACGAUGCGUAGGGGUUCUGAGAGGAAGGGC
rnacentral:rRNA from 1 species